GUGGGGGAUAUUGCACAAUGGAGGAAACUCUGAUGCAGCGACGCCGCGUGAGUGAAGAAGUAUUUCGGUAUGUAAAGCUCUAUCAGCAGGGAAGAUAAUGACAGUACCUGACUAAGAAGCCCCGGCUAACUACGUGCCAGCAGCCGCGGUAAUACGUAGGGGGCAAGCGUUAUCCGGAUUUACUGGGUGUAAAGGGAGCGUAGACGGAAUGGCAAGUCUGAAGUGAAAUCCUGCGGCUUAACUGCAGAAUUGCUUUGGAAACUGUCAAUCUGGAGUGGUGGAGAGGUAAGCGGAAUUCCUGGUGUAGCGGUGAAAUGCGUAGAUAUCAGGAAGAACACCGGAGGCGAAGGCGGCUUACUGGACAAUAACUGACGUUGAGGCUCGAAAGCGUGGGAAGCAAACAGGAUUAGAUACCCGUGUAGUCC
rnacentral:rRNA from 1 species